UAAUCUUUAAAGGAUUCAUAAGUUUGCCAAUAGUAAUUAAGUGUACCAUUGUUGAGCCAAUAGAAACUGUUAAUCCUCCAGAAGAUCCACUACCUCCGCCAACGCGCCUAAAUCUUACACCAUUUGGCAACUUCGAAUAUCAACCCGAGGGAUCUGAAUUCGAUGUGCUUGCUAUCGUGCUCAACGCAAGCCCCUCAACCUAUGCUUCAAAUGGGCGGAGAAUUCAAGAUUUUAUCAUCACG